rnacentral:snoRNA from 1 species
GGAUGAUGGUGUGUAAGAAUGAUGAAGAAAUCAUUCGGAUUCCCACUGAUAUUUAUUUGUGAUUACCACAACCAGCUACUUCUGACUUCACAU